rnacentral:rRNA from 1 species
CCUACGGGCGGCAGCAGUAGGGAAUCUUCCACAAUGGACGAAAGUCUGAUGGAGCAACGCCGCGUGCGUGAAGAAGGGUUUCGGCUCGUAAAGCCCUGUUGGUGGUGAAGAAAGAUAGAGGUAGUAACUUGCCUUUAUUUGACGGUCAUUACUUAGAACGUCACGGCUAACUACUUUCCAGCAGCCGCGUUAAUACGUAGGUGGCAAGCGUUGUCCGGAUUUAUUGGGCGUAAAGCGUGUGCAGGCGGUACAAGAAGUCUGAUGUGAAAGCCGUCGGCUCAACCGGAGAAUUGCAGCAGAAACUGGUGGACGUGAGUGAAGAAGAGGAGAGUGGAACUCCAUGUGUAGCGGUGGAAUGCGUAGAUAUAUGGAAGAACACCAGUGGCGAAGGCGGCUCUCUGGUCUGCAACUGACGCUGAGGCUCGAAAGCAUGGGGAGCGAACAGGAUUAGAUACCCCGGUAGUC